rnacentral:rRNA from 1 species
AUUGAACGCUGGCGGCAUGGCUAAAACAUGCAAGUCGAACGCGAAAGGGGGGCAACCCCGAGUAGAGUGGCGAAAGGGCGAGUAAUAUAUUUCUAACGUACCCCGGACUCGAGGAUAGCUCACCGAAAGGUGAAUUAAUACUCGAUGAUGCUGACGAGUUGUAUGACUUGUCAUCCAAAGGCUUGCUGGUCUGGGAGCGGGGAAUAACCUAUCAGGUAGUUGGUGAGGUAACGGCNCACCAAGCCUAAGACGGGUAGCGGGUGUGAGAGCACGGCCCGCCGCAUCAGGACUGAGACACUGCCCGGACUCCUACGGGAGGCUGCAGUAACGAAUAUUCCGCAAUGCGCGAAAGCGUGACGGAGCGAUGCCGCGUGCAGGACGAAGCCCCUCGGGGUGUAAACUGCUGUCAGGGUUUAACCAAAAAUAGAGAUACCAAAGGAAGAGGCGGCUAACUCUGUGCCA